ACUACGGGUGGCAGCAGUAGGGAAUAUUGCUCAAUGGGGGAAACCCUGAAGCAGCAACGCCGCGUGGAGGAUGAAGGUUUUCGGAUUGUAAACUCCUUUUGUUAGAGAAGAUAAUGACGGUAUCUAACGAAUAAGCACCGGCUAACUCCGUGCCAGCAGCCGCGGUAAUACGGAGGGUGCAAGCGUUACUCGGAAUAACUGGGCGUAAAGAGCGCGUAGGCGGGAUAGCAAGCCAGAUGUGAAAUCCUAUGGAUUAACCAUAGAACUGCAUUUGAAACUGUUAUUCUAGAGUAUGGGGGAGGUAGGUGGAAUGCUUGGUGUAGGGGUAGAAUCCGUAGAGAUCAAGAGGAAUACUCAGUGCGAAGGCGACCUGCUAGAACAUAACUGACGCUGAUGCGCGAAAGCGUGGGGAGCAAACAGGAUUAGAUACCCCAGUAGUC
rnacentral:rRNA from 1 species